UACGUAGGGUGCAAGCGUUAAUCGGAAUUACUGGGCGUAAAGCGUGCGCAGGCGGUUGUGCAAGACAGAUGUGAAAUCCCCCGGGCUCAACCUGGGAACUGCAUUUGUGACUGCACGGCUGGAGUGCGGCAGAGGGGGAUGGAAUUCCGCGUGUAGCAGUGAAAUACGUAGAUAUGCGGAGGAACACCGAUGGCGAAGGCCAAUCCCCUGGGCCUGCACUGACGCUCAUGCACGAAAGCGUGGGGAGCAAACAGG
rnacentral:rRNA from 1 species